rnacentral:rRNA from 1 species
UACGGAGGGUGCAAACGUUGCUCGGAAUCAUUGGGCGUAAAGCGCACGUAGGCGGACCGCUAAGUCAGAUGUGAAAGCCCUCGGCUUAACCGAGGAAGUGCAUUCGAAACUGACGGUCUUGAGUAUGGAAGAGGGUCGCGGAAUUCCCGGUGUAGAGGUGAAAUUCGUAGAUAUCGGGAGGAACACCAGUGGCGAAGGCGGCGACCUGGGCCAAUACUGACGCUGAGGCGCGAAAGCGUGGGGAGCAAACAGG